rfam:Callithrix jacchus chromosome 12, whole genome shotgun sequence
CUGUCUCUUGCUUCAACAGUGUUUGAAGAAAAAAAAAACAGUGUUUGAACGGAACAG